rnacentral:rRNA from 1 species
UUCCUCAAGAAAAAUUUGAGGUAAGACCUGCCCAAUGUUCUUAUCAAUGGCCGCGGUAUUUUGACCGUGCGAAGGUAGCAUAAUCAUUAGUCUCUUAAUUAGAGGCUUGUAUGAACGGUUAAACGAGAAAAAAACUGUCUCUCAUCAAAUUAUGGAAUUUUAUUUUUAAGUGAAAAAGCUUAAAUAAAUCUGAAGGACGAUAAGACCCUAUAGAGCUUUAUUUCCUAACUCUGUGAACCCCAUAGUAUAAAAGUUUAACAGAAUAAAGAAAUUUUGUUGGGGCGACAAAAAGACAAAAAUCAACUCUUAUUUUUUUAAACAAACAAAAUUGAACUAUUGAUCCUUACAGAAAGAUCAAAUGAACAAGUUACCUUAGGGAUAACAGCGUAAUCCUUUUCAAGAGUUCUCAUCAACAAAAGGGUUUGCGACCUCGAUGUUGGAUUAAGAAUUUGCUAGGGUGCAGAAGCUCUAGUAAAAGGUCUGUUCGACCUUUAAAAUCUUACA